CAAUAGCGUAUAUUUAAGUUGUUGCAGUUAAAAAGCUCGUAGUCGGAUUUUGGCUGAGAACGAUCGGUCCGCCGUUAGGUGUGCACUGAUUGGCCUCAGCUUCCUGGUGAGGAGGUGUGCUUCACGGCCACUUAGUCACCGUGGUUACUUUGAAAAAAUUAGAGUGUUCAAAGCGGGCUUACGCUUGAAUAUAUUAGCAUGGAAUAACACCAUAGGACUCCUGUCCUAUUUCGUUGGUCACGGGACGGGAGUAAUGAUUAAGAGGAACAGUUGGGGGCAUUCGUAUUUCAUUGUCAGAGGUGAAAUUCUUGGAUUUAUGAAAGACGAACUUCUGCGAAAGCAUUUGCCAAGGAUGUUUUCAUUGA
rnacentral:rRNA from 1 species